GAUGAACGCUGGCGGCGUGCCUAAUACAUGCAAGUCGAGCGAACGGACGAGAAGCUUGCUUCUCUGAUGUUAGCGGCGGACGGGUGAGUAACACGUGGAUAACCUACCUAUAAGACUGGGAUAACUUCGGGAAACCGGAGCUAAUACCGGAUAAUAUUUUGAACCGCAUGGUUCAAAAGUGAAAGACGGUCUUGCUGUCACUUAUAGAUGGAUCCGCGCUGCAUUAGCUAGUUGGUAAGGUAACGGCUUACCAAGGCAACGAUGCAUAGCCGACCUGAGAGGGUGAUCGGCCACACGGGAAGUGAGAAACGGUCCAGACUCCUACGGGAGGCAGCAGUAGGGAAUCUUCCGCAAUGGGCGAAAGCCUGACGGAGCAACGCCGCGUGAGUGAUGAAGGUCUUCGGAUCGUAAAACUCUGUUAUUAGGGAAGAACAUAUGUGUAAGUAACUGUGCACAUCUUGACGGUACCUAAUCAGAAAGCCACGGCUAACUACGUG
rnacentral:rRNA from 1 species